CUUGCAAAACAGGUCCUUAGUGCUAUAUAAGAUAACACAGCUUAAGGUUUGAAAAAUAACAGAAUACAAAGAGAAAGAUAGUAGAGAGGGUGAGGAAGGGGGGAGAGAGAGAAAUGGAAGGAGUCAGAAAGAGUCAUCGAUUGUUAAGGGGAGGAGUGAGCAGAAGUUAUAACCAUGGCUUCUCUUCAUCUCAGAUUCAAUCAUUAGCUGCUGUAUGUGAAGCCCUAAUACCUCCAAUGCUGAAGGAAGGUGGAAGCAGCGACGGCGGUGGCAUUAACUGAUUUUGAUUUUGAUUUUGGGUUUGUGUUUGGGGUGGGGGUGGAGGAAGAAGAUGACUGACUUCCUUUCUUUUUUUUCUUUUUUUUUUAAUUUCUUAUUUUUUCUAAUUUAAUUUUUCACUUAUUUUAAUGUAAUAAACGGAAGUUACUAUUUUACCCUUUCAAAAAUAUUAAAAAUAUGGUCAAAGUCAAAAUUCUUAAUCAACUACCUGACAUUUGGAUGAAAACCGUCCAAAAGGGCCUCCGCCGCAACAUUUCGAAAGGUUUGGGGUGGCGGUUGCAAUAAAUUAAAAGUUUGGGAAAAGUCUGCUAAUAUUUUAAAGAUUUGGAGCGUCUACUGCAAUAUUCCCUUCCAAUAAUUACAUAUCUGAUUUGACCUAUGGAUGAACAUGCUUCCUUUGUAUCUCACAUGGUUUCUAUUUGGAUCGGAAUUCGUUUGAUGGUUCGAGAGUAGUUUCAAAUAUUUGUCACAUCCUCAGUGCAGUCCUUGCUCAUCAUCCACGGGCCCUAUCUUCAAGUAACUAUGUUUCAUAAUAGCAUUUGUAAGGACUAUCAAUACAUUAAAUAAUAAUAAUAAUAAAUAAAACGUAGUCUUUUGACUAUGGUAAAACUAAAACCUAAUUACUUGGACCAAAUGAAAUAUAGGCAAGACAAGAAUUAGAGGAAAGUUAGGAAAUCAUAAGACUAAUCUCAGCCACGCAAAUGCAUUGCUGUAAAGCAUUACCAUUCCAAAUACUUAUAAAUAAACUGAAAGUAAUUUUACCAAAAAAACAAUUACAAAUUAUUCUUCUUCACUUCUGUAAGUUCCCCUCAGCCUGAUGCAUCAUUUUGCAGUUAAAAACAACCUUAUUGAUACAAAUGCAGAGACAACCAAACUAGAUUUUAAAGGCAGUGAUUCCACCCCUCUUUGUCCUAAGCCUCGUCGGCUCAGGUCAGCCUUGCCUGAAUAUCUUAAUCCUCUCAAAUGCAGCAAGAACAGGUUAAUUUAAUGAGUUAAUCAAACUUAUUUUUUGGGUUAUUAUAAUUUAUAAGGAAAUAAGGAAUUUCUCUAAUUAUUUGUUUGUGCAAUGUCAUGAUCAGCAAGCCAAAUUCUGAUGCAAGAAGUGGGGUUCCAUACAUGCUUGCAGAAAAGGUUCUUUCUAAUUAUAUCCAUGUUAAUUUUUGAACCUCGAGCUUGGUGCUCAGGGUUCCUUGAGACACUAAGCAAGACAAGGCUUGAGGAUCCCGAGUACCAACCUUGGACUUGAUAUUCGUAAUGCUCGUUUAUUUUAACAUUUAUGGUGGUUUUAUGUUAAUUUUCGACGAUAUAGACAACAGAUGGACGAGGAUGCAUGUGCACUGGAUGCUCUCCCUCUUGUUACUCGGGAUCUCCACCGAGUAGGACGGAUAAUCCAUUGGUUCAUGAUGUGCAGUUCGUGCAUCAGAUGGAGGUGUUUUCGCCUUUCACUCGAAUAGAGUCACAGUCUAAUAAAUUUGAAUUCAGUACAUCUGCUUCUCCGUUUUGAGUUAGAUAUCAUUAAAACUUUGUUAAUGUAGUUGAGUUGUAAUUUUGCAGUUACAAGGAGAUUAAUGAAACGUGACGUAAUUUCUGUAUAUAC
rnacentral:lncRNA from 1 species